UUGCUUUGGCAGCACAUAUACUAAAAUUGGAACGAUACAAAAGCAUGGCCCCUGCGCAAGGAUGACACGCAAAUUCGUGAAGUGUUCUGUAUUUUG
rnacentral:snRNA from 1 species